CAGCCGCCGCGGUAAUACGUAUGUCACGAGCGCUAUCCGGAUUUAUUGGGCGUAAAGCGCGUCUAGGUGGUUAUGUAAGUCUGAUGUGAAAAUGCAGGGCUCAACUCUGUAUUGCGUUGGAAACUGUAUAACUAGAGUACUGGAGAGGUAAGCGGAACUACAAGUGUAGAGGUGAAAUUCGUAGAUAUUUGUAGGAAUGCCGAUGGGGAAGCCAGCUUACUGGACAGAUACUGACGCUGAAGCGCGAAAGCGUGGGUAGCAAACAGGAUUAGAUACCCGCGUAGUCCCUGUCUCUUAUACA
rnacentral:rRNA from 1 species